GCGAGAGAGUGUUUACGACAGUUGAAGCUGCUAAAGAUUUUUAUUUAUUUUAUUUUUUUAAUAAAUUCUCAACACUUCACAAUAUUACAAACAACAAAUAUUCACAUGAAAGCAAAGUGGAUCUAACUAACAGUCAGAGAGAACUGGAAGGCCCAGAAGCACAACAGCAAGACAAGAAGACAUCAGAGUCUUCACACUGAGAAACUGAUGUCUUUCAGGUUUCAUGAUAAUGGAGAUGGAAUGUAAAUGCACAAUUUGCAUGAUUGAAAGAGCAAGAAAAUCUGACUAAAUCUCCAACAACUUGCAGCGUUAUCAUCGAGGCUGAGAAAAGAACACAACGCUGCAGACAACAGGAAACUAAUAAAGCCCAAAUAUAUCCCCACAUCCUAACCAGCAAUAAACAAAAGGAAUCAGCCCAUAUCACACUACAUGGAGGAAUUCACAGAAUGCAAGAUAUGUUUACUGCAACACAUUUUAUGUGGCUAGCUUUUUACAACAAUAGGAUGUGGUUUACAAGAAUGGAUAUGACUAAAUUAAGAUGACUACUUUGGAUUGCCUAUUAAAAAC